rnacentral:rRNA from 1 species
AACGCGAAGAACCUUACCAAGGCUUGACAUGUCGGAAGUAGUAACCCGAAAGGGAAACCACCUGUAAAGUCAGGAGCCGCCACAGGUGCUGCAUGGUUGUCGUCAGCUCGUGCCGUGAGGUGCUGGGUUAAGUCCUGUAACGAGCGCCCCCCCUGUUGUCAGUUGUUUUUUCUGGCGAGACUGCCCCGAGAAACGGGGAGGAAGGUGGGGAUGACGUCAAGUCAGCAUGGCCCUUAUGUCCUGGGCUACACACACGCUACAAUGGGUAGUACAAAAGGUAGCAAUAGAGCAAUCUGGAGCCAAUCCUAAAAACUAUCCUCAGUUCGGAUUGCAGGCUGAAACUCGCCUGCAUGAAGCUGGAGUUGCUAGUAACCGCAGGUCAGCAUACUGCGGUGAAUACGUUCUCGGGCCUUGUACACACCGCCCGUCACGUCAUGAAAGUCGGCAACACCUGAAGUCGUUGGGCUAACCCCCAAUUGUUGGGGAGGCAGUCGCCGAGGGUGGGGUUGAUGAUUGGGACGAAGUCGUAACAAGGUAACCUUAAUUAAAA